AUUUACUAUAUACAAAUUAUAUUUGUUUUGGAAAAAUUUAAAAGUAUUUAAUGUAUUACUUUAUUUAGUAAUAAGCAAAAAAAAACAUGAUUAUAAUUUAUAACUUAUAUGAAUUAAAAAUUAUUUAAUAGAGAAUACAAGCGUUAUAGAGGAAAUAUUAAAAGGGUCUUUCAAACAGAUAAAAGAUGAAUGACUAGACUAACAACUACUUCAUCGAAUACAUCAGUUUAUACAGUAGUUGGGAGUCGACACGCCUUUUCCUAACAAGUGCCGGGAGUCGUCGUACACAAGGCCGCUGCCGCCCUUUGAUCCACCCACCUCAAAUCGCGUGACUGUGAUUUCGAUGAAGUUACAAACUAGGCUAUCUCCAACAUAUCAAACACGCUAAUUGCAAGUAUUGAAAUGAAAAAUAACUACAAUUGCAUCUAUGCAAGCUUCAACUAUUUAAAUUAUUAUAAGAACGCGGAAGAGAAGCGCCCACCCACCGCCCGCCCGCGUCAUCUGUUCGCGGGCAAUCGCGGGGGCGUAACCGCCGCCCUACGCCGCGCCCGAGCCAGCGUUACAUUGCAACUUUUUCCCGCCAGUUGGUCCAAGCAACCGACCGUAUUACAAGAAUUCUGUUAGUUAACUAACACUAUAUUAUUUUUAUUAUUCCGAACUUAAUUAAUAAUAUUAUCAAUAAUAAUGUUACAUACAUAUAUACAUACAAGCUGUUUGAUAAAAUAUGUUUUUCAGAUCCAUUUUACAAUAUUUUUACAUAAAAUAUCUA